AGAUGCUCACUGGGUGUAAAGCGUGCGCAGGCGGUUUUGUAAGACAGAGGUGAAAUCCCCGGGCUCAACCUGGGAACUGCCUUUGUGACUGCAAGGCUGGAGUGCGGCAGAGGGGGAUGGAAUUCCGCGUGUAGCAGUGAAAUGCGUAGAUAUGCGGAGGAACACCGAUAGCGAAGGCAAUCCCCUGGGCCUGCACUGACGCUCAUGCACGAAAGCGUGGGGAGCAAACA
rnacentral:rRNA from 1 species